UACGUAGGGGGCAAGCGUUAUCCGGAAUUACUGGGUGUAAAGGGCGUGUAGGCGGGAAUGCAAGUCAGAUGUGAAAACUAUGGGCUCAACCCAUAGCCUGCAUUUGAAACUGGUAUGCUUGAGUGCCGGAGGGGUAAGCGGAAUUCCUAGUGUAGCGGUGAAAUGCGUAGAUAUUAGGAGGAACACCAGUGGCGAAGGCGGCUUUCUGGACAAUAACUGACGUUGAGGCACGAAAGUGUGGGGAGCAA
rnacentral:rRNA from 1 species